rnacentral:tRNA from 3 species
GCCCCGUUCGUCUAGUGGCCUAGGACAACGCCCUCUCACGGCGUAAACAGGGGUUCGAUUCCCCUACGGGGUA